AAGUCGUAACAAGGUUUCCGUAGGUGAACCUGCGGAAGGAUCAUUACAAAAUCCAAAACUAAAACACAAUCUUGUGCUCUUGAUUCUAUUAUCGCUCUCAAGAUAAAAAAGAGAUCAGAGCGAGUGGAGUAUUUGAAUAUAAGGUCUUUGCGGUCGGUGCUCUCGUGGCCAUUAGACCACAAACUCUUUCUUUCAGUACACCGAAGCUUGUUCUCCUCUUUUCUUGGGGCAUAAUAUGUCUUUUAUCUUUUUUACUUUAAAAAACUCCUUGUUGGCCGUCAAAGCCAACCACAGCAAAAAGGAAUAACAAUGUUACAACUUGAGAACAAAAAAAAUAAACAAAAUGACAACUUUUAACGGUGGAUCUCUUGGCUCGU
rnacentral:misc_RNA from 1 species